UAUAAAAAUCAAAAUGUCAAGCCAUCAGUUGAUGUCGGUUCGGCUCAAUGUCGAGGACAGACAAUCAUUGAACAAACGCCUAUCCGUUGUUCGUCAUCAUUUACAUUCGAAGAUAUCUUUAAUGAAGCCAAAAGGGUAUGAAGGAUUCUGAUUGACUGGUGGCAGAAGGGGUAUGCAUAUAAAGUGGCAUUAAGGCCUUGCAGACAGACUUAACAAUAACAGGCUGAAGUUGACGAAGGCCCACAUGUAAUCCCAUAUUGACGGUUGUAGAACUUGUACCAACAGAUUUCACUUUGGGAUAUAAUGGCAAGUUGGGAUGAGAAACUUCUUACAGCUGCAGGGGAGGGGAAUAUAAAAGAAGUAGAAUCAUGUGUAAAGAACGGAGCUAAUUUGGAAUGUAGAGAUGAACUUUAUGGACAGACACCAUUAAUGUCGGCCGCUGAGGGAGGACACCUGGAGGUGGUGACUUACCUUGUCAGUCACGGCAGUCAGUUAGAG